rnacentral:rRNA from 1 species
CCUACGGGUGGCUGCAGUGGGGAAUAUUGCACAAUGGGCGCAAGCCUGAUGCAGCCAUGCCGCGUGUGUGAAGAAGGCCUUCGGGUUGUAAAGCACUUUCAGCGGGGAGGAAGGCGGUGAGGUUAAUAACCUCAUCGAUUGACGUUACCCGCAGAAGAAGCACCGGCUAACUCCGUGCCAGUAGCCGCGGUAAUACGGAGGGUGCAAGCGUUAAUCGGAAUUACUGGGCGUAAAGCGCACGCAGGCGGUCUGUCAAGUCGGAUGUGAAAUCCCCGGGCUCAACCUGGGAACUGCAUUCGAAACUGGCAGGCUAGAGUCUUGUAGAGGGGGGUAGAAUUCCAGGUGUAGCGGUGAAAUGCGUAGAGAUCUGGAGGAAUACCGGUGGCGAAGGCGGCCCCCUGGACAAAGACUGACGCUCAGGUGCGAAAGCGUGGGGAGCAAACAGGAUUAGAUACCCGAGUAGUC